GACGAACGCUGGCGGCGUGCCUAAUACAUGCAAGUAGAACGCACAGUUUAUACCGUAGCUUGCUACACCAUAGACUGUGAGUUGCGAACGGGUGAGUAACGCGUAGGUAACCUGCCUGGCAGCGGGGGAUAACUAUUGGAAACGAUAGCUAAUACCGCAUAAUAUUAAUUAUUGCAUGAUAAUUAAUUGAAAGGUGCAGUUGCACCACUACCAGAUGGACCUGCGUUGUAUUAGCUAGUAGGGGAGGUAACGGCUCACCUAGGCGAAGAUACAUAGCCGACCUGAGAAGGUGGUCGGCCCACCUGGGAAUGAGACACGGCCCAGGCUCCUACGGGAGGGAGCAGUAGGGAAUCUUCGGCAAUGGACGGAAGUCUGACCGAGCAACGCCGCGUGGGUGAAGAAGGGUUUCGGAUCGGAAAGAUCUGUUGUAAGGGAAGAACGGGUGUGGGAGUGGAAAGUUCACACUGUGACGGUAUCUUACCAGAAAGGGACGGCUAACUACGUG
rnacentral:rRNA from 1 species